CCUCGGGAGGCAGCAGUGGGGAAUUUUGGACAAUGGGGGAAACCCUGAUCCAGCGAUGCUGCGUGCGGGAAGAAGGCCUUAGGGUUGUAAACCGCUUUCAGCUAGGAAGAAAAGGUUAUAGUUAAUAUCUGUAACUCAUGACGGUACUAGCAGAAGAAGCACCGGCUAACUACGUGCCAGCAGCCGCGGUAAUACGUAGGGUGCAAGCGUUAAUCGGAAUUACUGGGCGUAAAGAGUGCGCAGGCGGCUCUUUAAGACAGGUGUGAAAUCCCCGAGCUCAACUUGGGAAUUGCGCUUGUGACUGAAGAGCUAGAGUGCGGAAGAGGGGGAUAGAAUUCCUGGUGUAGCAGUGAAAUGCGUAGAUAUCAGGAGGAAUACCGAUGGCGAAGGCAGUCCCCUGGGCCAGCACUGACGCUCAUGCACGAAAGCGUGGGGAGCAAACAGGAUUAGAUACCCUGGUAGUCCACACCGUAAACGAUGAAUGCCAGUCGUCGGAUAGUAUACUAUUCGGUGACACACCUAACGGAUUAAGCAUUCCGCCUGGGGAGUACGGUCGCAAGAUUAAAACUCAAAGGAAUUGACGG
rnacentral:rRNA from 1 species